rnacentral:lncRNA from 1 species
AAAAAUUUUGUAAGUCACAGAUCAUUCAAAUUACAUGUCACAUUUUAUUUAUGGGUCACAUAAGUCACAAUUUAUUGGUCACAAAUUAUUUUUUAGUCACAGACACCUAAUAUUUAGUCACAAAUUAACCAAAUAGUUGGUCACAGACGCCCCCACCCGUCACCAUCAUCACCACCGCAACCAUCACCAUCACCAUCACCACCAUCACCAUCACCAUCACCAUCAACAACAACAAUUGGCACCACUGUCUCCAAAACCACCAUUACCUUACCAACAUGAGCCUCACCACUUCCUGCAACCAUCAUCAUGAGCAACACGGCGCUGUAACGCCACCACCAUUUCCUUUAUCUCCAUUUACCCCAUACCUAACCACCACCCACAAAUGUAUGAAAUCGCCAACCUAAAUGUAUGAAUCGCCGGUGAUAUCCCACCGUGAAAUCAUCGACCCAAAUGGUGGUGACUGGCCGUCGGAGAGAGAAGAUAGAAUUCGCAACCCCGUCGAAGAAGGCACGGCACCAUUCUAGACGGCAGCGACUCACGAGAAAGAACUGACGGCACUAGAGAGAGAAAAUAGAAGGCGCGAGAGAAGAAGACAGAAGGCGCAGCAGCACGUUGUCGUCGGCGCCACUCAUUAUCGUCGUUGCCGAAGCUUGGGUUGUCGGCGUCCAAGAGAGAGAAGAGAGAACGAGAGCUGUUAUACAUUUAGAAAGGAAAGGGAAAGGAAAAUUAGGGCUCAGCCAUUUGGGUGGGUGUUCUAUUUAAUUAUAUAGUACCUGAAUUUUGAUUAAACAUACUUCUCACCUGAUUUUUGUAUUAUGAACUUGAAAUAACUGGGAUUAUGUAAUUUCCACUUCCCCAAUUCUCCAGAAUAUCAUGUUUUAUAAAAGCCCAUGGCCCAGUUUAUUUUGGCCAUUGAAAUCCCAUACAUCUUUG